GAUGAACGCUAACGGCAGGCUUAAUACAUGCAAGUCGAGGGGCAGCGCAGUGUAGCAAUACAUGGGCGGCGACCGGCAAACGGGUGCGGAACACGUACAGAACCUUCCUUCGAGCGGGGAAUAGCCCAGAGAAAUUUGGAUUAAUACCCCAUAGUAUAUUGAUAAGGCAUCUUAUUAAUAUUAAAGAUUUAUCACUUGAAGAUGGCUGUGCGGCUGAUUAGGUAGUGGCGGGGUAACGGCCCACCAAGCCUUCGAUCAGUAACUGGUGUGAGAGCACGACCAGUCACACGGGCACUGAGACACGGGCCCGACUCCUACGGGAGGCAGCAGUAAGGAAUAUUGGUCAA
rnacentral:rRNA from 1 species